GCGAGGGUGGCGGAACUGGCAGACGCGUACGGCUUAGGACCGUAUGCCGAAAGGCUUGAGGGUUCGAGUCCCUUCCCUCGCA
rnacentral:tRNA from 1 species